UACGGGGGGAGCAAGCGUUGUUCGGAUUUACUGGGCGUAAAGGGCGCGUAGGCGGCCUCUGCAAGUCGACUGUGAAAUCUCCGGGCUUAACCCGGAAAGGUCAGCCGAUACUGCAGGGCUAGAGUGCAGAAGGGGCAACUGGAAUUCUCGGUGUAGCGGUGAAAUGCGUAGAUAUCUGGAGGAACACCGGUGGCGAAGGCGGCGUCCUGGACCAACACUGACACUGAUGAGCGAAAGCCAGGGGAGACAAACGG
rnacentral:rRNA from 1 species